rnacentral:rRNA from 1 species
UACGUAGGGUGCGAGCGUUAAUCGGAAUUACUGGGCGUAAAGCGUGCGCAGGCGGUGAUGUAAGACAGUUGUGAAAUCCCCGGGCUCAACCUGGGAGCUGCAUCUGUGACUGCAUCGCUGGAGUGCGGCAGAGGGGGAUGGAAUUCCGCGUGUAGCAGUGAAAUGCGUAGAUAUGCGGAGGAACACCGAUGGCGAAGGCAAUCCCCUGGGCCUGCACUGACGCUCAUGCACGAAAGCGUGGGGAGCAAACAGG